CCGGGGCGCCCCCACCGCGUCGCGGCACAGAGAGCGACCGCAGGGACCCCGAGCGGGAGAAGGCGCGAGGGCGCCGGCCGGGACGGGAGGCGGAGUAGGUGUGUGAGAGAGGGAGACUGGGAGCGGGAAGGAGCCGACCCGAACAGGCUGCGACUUCUCCCAGUCACUAGUCCCCACAACUCUCCAGCUCCCUCCUCCGAGCUCCCCGCCCUCCGACUCCGGCGGCACCUCCCCCUCGCCAGCCAAGUUAUAGAGGAGCGGGAGGGGGAGGGAGCGCGGGGACCCGACGGCCACGCGCGCGCGGCCGCGCGCACGCGCACUGCCCGCUCCGGGCGGGAGAGCUGCGGCGGCGCCGGUCAGCCGGUUGCGAGCAAGCGAGCGUCCGUGAAGAAAGGAGAGGAGGAACUCACGCAAGGGGAAGAGGAGCUGAGAUGUCUCACACCCAAAAGUAGCAACAGUGUAGGAAGGUGGGAAGGAUGAAGCGCCCGCGCGUCCUUGACGCCGCACGCCCCUGCUCGUACUCGCGGACUCUCCAGAGAGAGCGACGGGGGGCCGGAGGCGGGGCCGGCAAGGCGGAGCGAGCGCGACGCGCGCUGCCCGGAAAGCGUACCUGCCGUAUUGACCUAUCCACUGAGAUGAACAUUAGGCACCUCAGACCCAACUAUGGCUCUCCCAGAACCCUGCGUCAGCUCCUUAUCCUUAUCAUGGUUGAUGGCUAAAUUCCAAGACAUUCUUAUUUCCUCUCUCCUUCACACCCUAGAUCCAGCUUAUCAAAAGAACUUUGGGUGUUUCAGUUCUUCAGUGGUCUCUUAAGAAUCUGACCAGGUGUCCCCUCAGAAGCUGUCUUUGAUUGUUCCAUCUAAAGCUGCAUGGCUCCCUGUUGAGAGCCACAGCUGAAGGGGCCCCAGCAAACUUCCAGCUGCCAGCAAACUUCCAGCUGCCUGCUGAUGAUUGGCUCACAGCAGCCCCAGCAACAUCUAGCUGAUUGGCUCCUCUGCGGUGAUGCUCAUUGGGCUGUUUCCCUGCCCUUUCAGACCACGGAGCUGCUCAUUGGGGGACUUUUUUGGCUCCGCCCACGUGACCCAGCCGAUCGGCCUCAAGAGCAGGAGGAUUGCGGGAGGUGGAGAGAAGCUUGUGUGGGAGAGAGAGGCUUGUGGAAAGCCGGUGGUGGCAGUUGAGGCUCUGAGGGUUUUUCCUGAGAGGCUGUUUUGUUUGGCGUGUGUGGUUCUAAAAAUAAAGUUAAUUUCUUUUGACAAGUGGCUCCUGAUUGUGCCCAGCCAGACUGCGGCAGCUCCCCACCAUUCAGUUCCUUUUUACUCCUUGAUUUAUUUUCUUCAUCACAAGUAUUACUUUUUGUUUUCAUACUAUAUUCCCUAUUAUCAUGGUGCCCCAUCUUGUCCCUUCCAGAGGAACAGGAGCUUUGUCAUGGCUCCAUCCCCAAGGCCUGAGACACUACCCAACACAGUACCCAGGGCUUAGACAGAAAUGAGCACUUUUGAGUGAUUGGAUUAAUGCAUUUAUUUAAAUAGUCAUCACUUCAAAAUUGAGGUAAAAUAAUUUUAACACAUGUAAUACUAGCUUAAUGAGUCAUUUUGCUUUGGAAAUUUUUCAUUCAGCUAAAAUUGUGGGCCAGUGUUUGUUAUGCUGGGGGAAUCAAACUGUGCAUACUUGGUGGCACAUGCAGGCAUUUCAAAGGCUGAAGAAAACAGAAUUUAGUCUCCAUCCACAGUAAUGGUUCACAGCCUAGGCCACAAAUUAGAAUCACCUGGAAAAAUUAUAAAAGUCUGAUGACUAGGCUGACCUCUAUAACACAUAAUGCAAAACUUUUUGAGAGUUGGAUCUGAGACUCCAUUAACAUUUUUAAAAGAAUUUCCUCAGCAAAUUACAUGGGCAGUCAGAUUGAAAAACACUUAUUUGUGAGAGAUUUCUUUUCUCAAAAAUUAUUUCCAGUGCUGACAACAGUAUAGGGAGUAUUUAUAUACUUGUUAAAUGAAUUAAUGAGUGAAUGAAUGAAUGUAAAGAGUGUUGAUAGCUGACUGAACUCAUGAACACCAUUUGAAGAGUCUACUAAUGGGUUGCCAAAUUUGGCAAACAAACAAAAUAACCAAAAAGACUCCCCCAUUAAAUUUGAAAUUUAAAUAAAGAACUUUUGGGAAAUGUAUGUCUCAAAUAUUAUAUGGGCAUAACUAAAGAAUGACUUUAUUAUUUACCUGUGAUUCAGAUUUAACUGGACAUACUGUAUUUUAUCUGGCAACUCUACUGAUGAGAGAACAGUUAAGAUUCUUUUGUAAAAAUCAGUAUUUUAUUAAAAAUGUUAAACAAUUUGGUAUCAAAAUGGUGAUUUAAUCUCUUCUAUCUUCUGCUAUCCAAAGCUACCAAAAAACAGUCCAUCAUCUUUAUGAAUAAAAGGAACUUUACCUUUUGAAGAUUUUAAUACAACAAUAAUAAAAAUAAGAUAAAUUAUUGUGUUCUAAACAUUUGCCAUGUGAAUUUAGAAUUUAAAUCUUUCAGCACCUGUUUUUGAAUUAUCAAAUGUUGUACCCAAGAGUAGGAAAAAGCAAAGUUAAGCACAAAAUACACUUUCAGCAUAGCCUGUGAAUCGGGGACUACAUCACAGGUCUUGGGCUUUGAAUUCUUGGUCCCUACGAUGUGUGAGAAAGAUUGCAAUAUUUCAGGCAACAGACCUUUAUUUCUCCUAAGCUAUUUUCUUCUUGUUACACAACUAAAACAAAUUUACAUGAUAGUAAUGAAUAAGACCUGACUUUAAUGCUGGGAAAAUAAAAUUAUCAGAGCAAAUCAGUUGAAUAAUUUAUCAUGCAAGUAAAAGCCUCAGUAUACUUUUCCUUAAAGACCCAUAAAAGCUCCCAUCAAUCCUUUGUAAAUGUCAGACAAACAUGUGUCUACCACCAGGUGGCGUGCUCACAAGUUCAGAAAUUCUCCAGUGAGUUGGUGACCCAAAGAAGUUAUCAAUUAUGGUUCCUUUUGAGCAUGGAAAGAAUGGAAUGAAGAAAGUGCAAAAUAGAAAAAGCUGGUCACUAGCAUUCACAUUUCAAAUAUUUUCUUUUCCCAACCAGAUUGCUAAGUACAAACUAGUUCCUAAGCUUCCCGCAGACUUUUCAAAGUGCCUACCUAGAGUUAGAUCAUCAACAGAUAUUUGAUCUUAUCUGAACACUGUCUUUUGUAGUAUGAAGACAUUUUCCUUAAAAUUUGUCCAAAUGUUGUCAUAAAAACCAAAGGUUUUCAUCAGUUUUCCUUGGCAUAUGUAAUUUUCUUCAUGGAAAUUUUAGAAACCAUCCCUAAUUUUAAUGAUUGAUGGCCAAAGAAAAUAUUAAAAUCAGAAGAGGAAGAAAAGUCAAUCCAGAUAAAAAUUCUUAUCUACCUAUCCCUUAAUAUUGAGACUAUUUGGGCAAAGGAAAAAAUCAGGCAAACUCUGUUGCUCAGGCUGAUGGUCUAUGGUAUAGAAACAGGCUG